CCUCAGUAGCGGCGAGUGAAGCGGCAAGAGCUCAGAUUUGAAAUCUCACCUAGUGUGCGAGUUGUAAAUUGCAGGUUGGAGUCUCGGGUUAGACGUGUGUGCAAGUCCCUUGGAACAGGGUGCCACUGAGGGUGAGAGCCCCGUAUCGUGCAUGUCGACACCUGUGAGGCCCUUCUGACGAGUCGAGUUGUUUGGGAAUGCAGCUCUAAGUGGGUGGUAAAUUCCAUCUAAGGCUAAAUAUUGGCGAGAGACCGAUAGCGAACAAGUACUGUGAAGGAAAGAUGAAAAGCACUUUGAAAAGAGAGUGAAACAGCACGUGAAAUUGUUGAAAGGGAAGGGUAUUGGGCUCGACAUGGGAUUUACGCAUCGUUGCCUCUCGUGGGCGGCGCUCUGGGUUUUUCCUGGGCCAGCAUCGGUUUUCGUUGCAGGAUAAGGACAAUUGGAAUGUGGCUCCUCGGAGUGUUAUAGCCUUUUGUAGAUGCUGCGUAUGGGGACCGAGGGCUGCGGCGGACUCGUUUCGUCUCGGAUGCUGGCACAACGGCGCAAUACCGCCCGUCUUGAAACACGGACCA
rnacentral:rRNA from 1 species